rnacentral:rRNA from 1 species
UGAAUACGAGACGCUACGGCGUCGAAGCAGUCUAUGUCAUACUUCCAAGAAAAGCUUGCACUGUCAUAAACAAAUAAUGCCUGUACCAUAACCGACACAGGUGGGUAGGUAGAGUAUACUAAGGGGCGCGAGAUAACUCUCUCUAAGGAACUCGGCAAAAUGACUCCGUAACUUCGGGAGAAGGAGUGCCUUAUUUAUAAGGUUGCAAUAACAAGAUCCAAGCAACUGUUUAUCAAAAACACAGGUCUCCGCUAAGUCGUAAGACGAUGUAUGGGGGCUGACGCCUGCCCAGUGCCAGAAGGUUAAAGAAGUUGGUUAGCAUUAGCGAAGCUGAUAACUGAAGCCCUGGUGAACGGCGGCCGUAACGAUAACGGUCCUAAGGUAGCGAAACUCCUUGUCGGGUAAGUUCCGACCCGCACGAAAGGCGUAAUGAUUUGGAUACUGUCUCGGAGAGGGGCUCGGUGAAAUAGACUUGUCUGUGAAGAUGCGGACUACCUGCACCUGGACAGAAAGACCCUAUGAAGCUUUACUGUAACCUGAAAUUGAAAUUGGACUUUAUUUGCGCAGUAUAGGUGGGAGGCGUUGAGAAUAUUCUUGCGGGAAUAUUGGAGCCAUCAGUGAGAUACCACUCUUGUAAUGUUAGAUUUCUAACUUUGAAUCAUUAUCUGGUCAAAGAACAGUUUCAGGCGGGCAGUUUGACUGGGGCGGUCGCCUCCUAAAUGGUAACGGAGGCGCACAAAGGUUUCCUCUGAACGGGUAGAAAUCGUAUCUAGAGUGUAAAGGCAUAAGGAAGCUUGACUGUGAGACCUACAAGUCGAGCAGGGACGAAAGUCGGUCUUAGUGAUCUGACGGUGCUGAGUGGAAAGGCCGUCACUCAACGGAUAAAAGUUACUCUAAGGAUAACAGGCUGAUCUCCCCCAAGAGUUCACAUCGACGGGGAGGUUUGGCACCUCGAUGUCGGCUCAUCGCAUCCUGGGGCGGUAGUACGUCCCAAGGGUUGGGCUGUUCGCCCAUGAAAGCGGUACGCGAGCUGGGUUCAGAACGUCGUGAGACAGUUCGGUCCAUAUCCGGUGUAGGCGUUAGAAUAUUGAGAGGAGCCUUCUUUAGUACGAGAGGACCGAGAAGGACAUACCUCUGGUGUACCAGUUAUCGUGCCAACGGUAAACGCUGGGUAGCUAUGUAUGGAGAGGAUAACCGCUGAAAGCAUCUAAGUGGGAAGCCCACCUCAAGAUAAG